CGCCCCGUCAUUCACGGAUUGCAUUCCUUUCUCACCGCCUUGCCUCCUGCUCCUGCGCCCCCAUCGCCUUGCUACUCCUGCACCCCCGCGCCCUUGCUGCCCCGGCCCCGGCCCCGGCCCCAGCCCCCGCGCCAAGCCUCCUGCUCCUCCAGCCCCGUGCGCCCCCCCACCGCCGCGCUACUGCUCCGUCACCCCGCACCCUUGCCUCCCCCGCCCCCGCGCCAGUCCUCCGCCACCGAGCCCCUGCCUGGGCCCCGACUGAAACCCUAGGCGACGACCGGUGGAUCCAACAACGGUGGUGGUGGCCGGUGGCGGCCCCCUCGGCGACGACGAAGGCCUGGUGGAGGUCGUCAUAGAUGGUGGGGAUGGUGGCGCGGAUCCAAUGGACUCCUGCGAGAGGCGUGGGCGAGGCCAUGGCCUCCGCCACCGGCUCCGACCAGCAGCAAUCCCCAAGCACAGGGGAUUGGGAUCCUGAUUGAUGCCUGAUUGGAUGGGAUCCUUGCCCUAGCAGCAGCAGCAACAGAUGCUGACCCGGGAGCUGGGGCCGACAAGCUCGUGUUCGAGGCGGCACUGCAGCCCAUGAGGGAGGACUACGUCGAGAACGCCGUCAAGUUCCUCUCCCACCCCAAGGUCAGGGGCUCCCCCAUAGUCUACAGGCGGUCUUUCCUCGAGAAGAAGGGCCUCACUUUCCAGGAGAUCGACGAGGCCUUCUGAAGAGUCCUUUACAUUUGGUCUUGAAUUUUUCCAUCAAUUAUUAUGGAGUCGAUAGGUACCGAUAUGAUUACAAAAGCCCUUAAUGUUAGAGUUAAGGGAUUGGUUUUGGACAAACAUGUUCCAUGUCAUUUUUACUGGCUUAUUAGUUCUGAAGGUUUGAAUAUUUGCUGAGGCAGGAAUGAAUCAUUGGUAGGUCCAUGUGAUCCAGUUGAACAUGAUGUGCUUGUUGAAAUACCUCAGAUAAAUUUGUAUUUAUAUUGUUGAACGUUUGAAUCUUAUGAAUUUUGCUGUCAACUAUGAAAGUCAAUAAGGUAGCAAUAUAUGUAACAGAAACAGAAUGCUUUGUGAAAAAUAUUUCUUCCUAUUUUUAUGGAAAAGAAUAAUGCUUGGUAACAGCAUGCGUUCUUUCCCUAAAAUUAUUUUAGAUAAUUAUUUUUUAAAUAAAUAGUGCUUGCAGAAUGCUCAUUAGGUAUGCUGCUUGCCUCCCAUUAAGAAAUGCACGGAGUAAAACUAUUCUGCUUUUGGAGGCACAUGUAAAGCUUUAAAUUUUACUAAUACAACCCACAUCAACCCGCAUUUAUAUAGAACCCGCCCGACCCACCCAUUAACUAAUACAACCCAUUUUAACCCAUCCAAACACAACACAUUUCAAAACCCACCCCAUAAAAUUCAUUUCAACCCAAACCAUUAGCAGGCCUAUAGCACCACCACCUGCGAUCCAAUCCCCCCUCCCAUGCCUCGCCCCCCAUGCCGCGAGAUCCCCUUCUCUGGCGGCGGCGCACCUCGGAUCCCACUGGCGGCGGCCUGCCGCCAGCGUCCCUCUCCAUCACCCGGCGCCACCCUCCCUCCGCGCGGCAUGGAGCCGACUCGGGACCGGAGCGGCUCGAGCACGCGCGCGUGGCGGGGCUGCGCGCGGGCGGGUGGAGGCUGAGGCGCGGCGUGCGAGAGGAGUGGGCAUAGUGCAUGAGCGGCCAGGCCACCGGCGUGGAUUGGGCGGCGGGUGUGCCUUCCGCGGCGGCGCGCGGGAGGGCAAGUCGCGCGCGCGCAAUAGGCGACGCACGCCCCCCGCCGCGGAUUCCCCACGCGCGCCUCGCGUGGCCGCCGUCCCCAUCGCUGUCAACGCCCACUCCUCGCAGCUGCACCUCCUCCACACCGUCGUGGACCUCGCGCCGCCGCGUACCUGCUCGUUGAACGAGCGGGGGAGCCCGGCCUCCCGGACAGUGGCGGCGGAGGGUAGGACCACCACGGCGAUGGCACGGGCGAUUUCCUCCACCACAUCCACCCAUCCACGCCGGUGUCCCCCCUCCACCAGAACGUCCAAGCCUCACCAUUGGUGUGCCGCACGGAGAGGAUAGGUCUGGACAGUCGUGCGAAGAGGAGAGGGCGGUUGUCAUCCUGUUGAUGCCCCGGCCCCAUCUCGGCACCCUAUCCAUUCCGGCGGCGGAUCAUUUACGCCCCCAUCCUUCCCCACAAGUUGGCUCUGUCUUGACCUCAGAUGGGAUCAUGGAAGCUCUGAAAGUAGCAGAGAUGGGUCAUCACCAAUCAGGUAGAGUUAGUUGCUAGCUGCCUAGCCGCAAGCAACCCUCACCAUCGACAAAGCAUUAGGUACAAACAUAUGCAGAUGAAUGAAUAAACAAUUAGGACAAUACUAUUUUGUGUCUUGUCAACUGUGGAUGUCACACUGCUUCCUACGAUUCAUUCGGACGUUCAGUAGCAAAAAAAUGUGACAGGUGAAUUUGUGUUCAUUUCUCUGUUUAUUACAACAUCAAGAUUCAAGACACACAUGUUCUGAAGGGCCCAUAGUCCCAUUUGAAGUGUUGGUCUGUUGAUUCUAAAGGUAUGUAUCACAGCUUAAAUGAAGGUUUUAAUUCGUAUAACUUAUUAUAUCGUUUUAUAGCUCAUUUAAACAAAUAAAGCGAGUCUAUUUCCAUCUUUUAAUUCCUGUGGCGACCAAAAAAAGAAAUUGAUGCUUCCAAAGGAUUACAGAAUUUGGGUUCAUAUGUCUUCAAUUUUUAGACAAAUAUUCUGAUUCAGGUGACCUCCUAAGAUCGCAUCAGUUGAGCGUUUACAUGAAGCUGUUGGGUUCAGACUUCAGUAACGGUGUGUGAACUUUGCCAUUGCUAAGUCAAUGGUGAGGCUGGGAGACAUGUUGGGAGAGACCACGUCUUGUAGUUCACCUGAUUAUGAGAUAUGAGGGUGAAAGAGUUUCCAUCAAUUUGGCCCUUUUGUUGUAAAGAUUGUUUUUAAGACGAGUCCUUACAAGUGAAGGCAAUAUUCUGAGUUAUCAUGGCAAAGCAGAGAUACGGAACCACAAUCAAAAUCUGAGAAAAAUCAGAUCGGUUGAUCAACUUGCUUGGUUUUCAUCGCAUUCUAAAAGUGUUUCCAGAUGUGACAGGUGAAUUUGUUUCUUCCAAGUGAUCAGUGAAGUUGGGGCAAGCCUUCUCCGUGACAAUAGACCUAGGUCUGAAAUGACAUUGAGUGUUACUCCUCUCUUGCUUGAGCUCAAUCUCCUUGUCUGAAAACAGCAUGAAGCAUGGUGGUGGUGUUUGGAUGAAGUUCAAUUAGGUUAUCAAAUUAACUUUGCUUUAAUAAUGUAUUCAGACAAAUUACGUGAUUUUUUAUUUAUAUUGCUUGAAAUAAAAUUUUGGUUACAUAGAAAAAGUUGAUGCUUCUAAUUUUAAUGCAUCUGUUAUAACACUAAGUUUUACUAUUUUGCUAUUGUCAGAGAAAUGACAAUACUUUUUAGCUUGAGACGUCUUAGAGGUGUCUUAUUGUUUUAAAUCUUGUCAAGUUAACAUACUGAGUAAUGGUACUGAGUAAUUAGCCAUCUCUCAUGAUUCUUUUGACCAGAAGCAAAAGACACUCAACACCGAAUGUGUUAAGUAGAAAACCAUCAUCAGGAAGGGUUACUCGUGGUGGAUACAUUUUGUGAUCGUAGUGUAUUCACCUUUUUUUUAUGGCUAGAUGCUUUCAUGUCUUGUGACCAGCAACAAUGUACAUGUAGGCUGUAGCUGUCUUUUUUCCAUCUGCAGGUUGAUUGUUUGUGCCAUUGUGGUGGCACCAUUCUGAUUUAUUCCGAUGAUAAUGAUGCUUCGAUUUAUACUUCCUGGAGAAACGAUGAUUUAUACUUCGAUUUAUGCAACAUUCUGAUUUGCAAACAA